rnacentral:lncRNA from 1 species
UGUGAGCUUACAAAGCCUCUUGUUGGUCUGGGAAUUGAGUACUUGGGAUUUCCCUGCAUGAAACCCAAGAACAUGCAGGCCUGGCUGCUGAAGUUGGAGAAAAAUGACUUGUGCAGCCAGUGGCUUUUCCCUGGGUAAUGAUAGUGAGAGGCACCUCUCAGAGGGAGGUGUUAAUACAGUGCACAUGCAGCAGCUUACAGGAAGCCAAAGGCUUUUCCUCCUCCUGAGUGAUGCACCCUGCAGGAGGACGCUUGCAGGAUGCCUUCUGCGGGGCCUUCACCCUCUGACUUCUGUGGGAUGCUCCAUGCUGUGCGGACACCAUAGCAGCAGCUUGGGCAUGGCUGGCACUCCUCCCUGCUGCUCCUGGAGCCCCACUCCUCCCUUGGCUGUCAGCUGCCACCUGCUGCUUCUGCACAGGGGGACGUUAACCAGAAGGUUCCUACAGAACUCUUGGCAGACAGACACAGACAGCACUCCUGCUGUCACCCGGUCACGUUGUCUGCGUGUCAUCCAUGUGCUGCUGAUACACCUCUCUCUGCUGCUGCAGCUUGUGCUGUGGGAUCUAAGUCCUUGACCGAACGUCUUCAUUUCAGGUAUGGAACAAGGAGCUGACUGAUUUCGCCGUGCCUAACAGCCAGCUGCUUGCAGUUAAAGCAGCAGUCUCCUUCAUGUUCAAAUCAGCUCUACGUUUUCUUUCCACAUUUGUUCCCAAACCACGUCGCAUAAGGAAAAAGCACCUCUUUCCCCGUUUCCAGGCCCUAUUUCCAUUUGGGCCUCGGAUCACAGUGACCAGGAGAGCAGAACCGCACCGUGCCCACGCACACCCAGGUUCUGUUCUGUUUUCAGACUGAAGCCGAGACGCUGCUCAACAGAAAUAAGAAAGGAGAUGCAAACGAUCAAUAUGAAGCGGCCGAGGGACGACUCAUGCAAGAUAUGCUGUGUGCACUUAGGAAGAACAACCGCAGCCCCCCAAAGAUUUGGCACGACCUGUCAGGCCAGCAUUAAUCUUGCGUGAUGAAUAAUGUGGCAGUCUAGGAGUUUUUAACAGCUUUAAAAUGAGAAAACUGUGGGACGCGAUAGCCGAAAGUAAAUCUGCUCAAAAAUUGGAGAAUACUUUGGAUCAAAUGGAGAUACUGAGUAAUGCGUAACUAUUUAAGCAUCAAUUGCUGCAAGCGAGGCGGGCUUGUGGCUGGGAGCAGCUUUAUGCCACAAAUAAUUCACCCAAAGAUUUAAUUAUAAGUCAGGGCUGAGGCUGGAGCGAUUCCGAGAAGGGGCCCGGCCCUGUGGUGUGUGAGGGGCAGGAGCACCUCCCAGCACCUCCCAUUGGCACUGGGCCAGGUCUGGGGAUGCUACGCGGGGCCAGGCCCAGCUGGCGCUGCCUGGAAAUUUAGGGGGAAUUGGGGGUUUUAGGCUGACAAACCAAACCGGUUGUGUGUGGGGGAUAGCGGGAAGGAUACCGUCCUGCCUGAAGUCGGCACCAAUUUGCUGCCGGCUGUCGCGGGGACAAGAUCAGGCUUUGCGUGUGAAGUCACCUCCCUCGGAGGUGGCCUGACAAACGCUAAAGCAAAACGUUUCAUUUAGAAGCUGUCACAGAGGAAUUACUCACCUUUUAUGCUUAUUAAAUUUGCCGUGUGCUUUCCUGUAAAGGGACCGGAGAGCGGCCGGACAUUUUAAUUUUCACUCUUUGCAAAAUAAAGAUGACAGUCAAGAACUUUGCCUGUUUUUACAGCUUCUAAUGAAAGCAGUUCAUUCCGUUUUUAUGGAAAGGAAAAUAAAAUGUGUUUGUUUCCGCAGAUUUUAGGAGAAUUAGCAUGUAUCCGAUUGUUAAUAUUUGAUCCUUCUUUAAUUAUUUAUGGUAUCAAGGAAUGAAUCUGUCAAGUAAAUAAUGAAAUGCGUACAUGCAGCAUAUGUAAUUAGGUUAGGUGCAUAAAUCCAAAGUGUUCACUUUAUAGUUGUCAGAGCAAAAUUUAUUAAUAAUGAGAAAUGCUAAGUGAAGAAAAUCCCUAACAGUGCUCAUUAGUGUAGGUUAGAGCAGUUGCCGAGGAGGAAAGUUGCCCCUCUGCUCUCUCUGCUUUGUCACCUGAGGACGUUAGCAGGCUCACAGCCUUCCCAAAACACAUCUCUAUAUCACACAUGUGUAGCACAGAGCCUCUCCUCUUCAGAUCUGGGUGCUCCAGGAACCAAGCCAUGGCUUGGCAGCAGGCAAUGCCUCCUCAUCCUCUGUGCUCCUUGAAUUGUUCCUGCUUUCUGCAGAUUAUGGCAAAAUUGGUCCUCGUUAAUAAAAAAACAAAGCAAAAUUAAUCUGCGAAUUGGUGCCUCUUGGGGCGAGAGGAAGAUGUGUGAGGCAGAUGAAACACCUGUUUGAGACAGAGAACUGCCACUGUGGGACCGUGAAGAGCAGUUCUCUAUCCCUAAAGGUGUUUUUCAGAGCUCCCGCUCCAAAGGAAGAUC